UUCAAAAAGCCACACAGGAUUCUUCACCAAUAAUUCAUCAAAAUGACACAUUGGCAAGUAAAACAAAGGAUGUUUUGCAAGCAGAAGAUUUAUUGCAGGAUUUGGAAAAAAUGCUGCAGCAAAUUAACAAAAUGGAGAAACUUGCUAGUUCAGUUAUGUCAGAAAAACAAGUGAAUAGCAAUAAAUAUGGUCAGAAAAACAAGUUGUUUACCUCGAGUGUUACAGUUUCUGAAGAGAUGGAACUAAAGGAUUCCACAGGUGCUGAAGAUUGCACCAUAAUAGAUGGAAUAGAAUUCCAGACUGGGGAGUGCUUUGAAGACAUCUCAAAACAGCUGAAAGAAAUUGAUGUAAUCAUGGCUGAGCUGGAAGGGUGUCUUUAAUAUAAUUUCUAAUGUUUGCUACUUUAUUCAAAAGUUAAAUUUAACCAUGUUUAUACUUCCCAUUUUGUGAGUUUUGUAGCACAUACAUCUGGGUAAAGUUUUAUUGACUAAAAUCUUAAUAAAUAGUUAAAAUAGUUAGUGAUUUGAUUUUUUUCCCCCAAUAAAAAUUACCUUUUACACUUCUCAGUGUUGAGAUUAGCUUCCUCCUGCACACCACAAGGGUUACAUAAACAUUUGUUAUAGAAUUGCAAAUUAUAAUGUGUAAAACCAAGCUGUGUAAUUUAACAAACCAAUGUGACAGAACAUAACAAAAAUUUGUGUUAAAAUAUUUUGACCAUGAUUGAACCAAUUUAUUUUCUUCCUUGAUUCUCUUUGUGUGCCACACUCUGAUUUUCAAUGGUUUUCCCCGCCUUUGCACAUAUGUUUCAUCUGGUGUUUCAUUAUCUGCAACAAUAUUAAAAAGUUAACAUUUUGUGCAAGGUCCUAUGUUGUUUCAUUUUCAUUUAAUUGCAUGUGCUUGAUUUUCCAUUGUACAAGAAACCAGAGUUUCAAUUUUGGACUCAGGAAGAGAACUGAAAAAUAUAAGCUCAAAAUGCCCUUGAUGUUUUCAUUGAGAUUACUCGUGGUUUCUUUAAGGAUCAUCAGAAAGAUGGACAUAAUGUGCGUUAAUGGUCAAUAGUUUCUUUAUUGCCAUGUGUACCAAAUAGAAUGAAAUUAUUUUAUUGCAUACUGAUCUGCAAGAUUAUCCCUGUACAUAAGCAUAAUUACCCCUGUCAGUGCAGAAUAGCCCACUGAGUCUAAAUGCUAAAGGUGCCAUUUUGGUGCCAUUUUACAGUCCCAGUUGCAGCUGUCUCCAUUCCGGUCGUCCCGUGAACCAUCGUCCCUCUCCACGCCUGGCUCUCUUUGGCCUUCGUUCCCUGGUGGGGGGGGGCUCCCGUAGCCAUCCCCGAGGGCGCAGAAGGUAAGACAUCACCAUUCCUAUCACCGAGCCCCUUGUCCAGUGUCCAACACCAUCGCUGUCUCCUUCCAUCCCCUUUUCUGAUUCAGCAGACGCCAGGCUCAGCGGCAACCUCUCCAAGCCUAUUCUCGCCAGGACAUGUGUUGUGAAUGAUCUGUCCAUUUUAUAUAUGGAAUUCAUAAUUGGGUUUGGGUUUUUGGAACCAACAUGGACAUAUUCAUAUGUAGGCAGUGUUUUUUCCCUUUCCAGGCAUCUUAUAUAUUUUUUCAUCUGUAUACCCACAUGAAUAUUGAAAUAAGCAAGUCUUUGUCAUUGGUUCCUCAUAAUAUCUACAAUUCUCAAUUGGAAAUGGAUUGACUUGGCUUGAACUGACGUUUUUUCAGGCUUCGUACAACACACGUAAAACUUACGUUGUAGAACUCAUAUUCCAAUGGAAGAUAACUUUGACUUUGGCUGAUAAUGUCUGAGAGUCAUAUAGUAAAAACUAGGCCAUCAGCCCACCAUAUCCAUUCACAGGCCAGUUUCACUGGAGUUUUCUGGAUUAAAAUUGAAUUUCACUUAAAGCAUGUGGUCAUAUUUAAUAGUAGUUCAUAUUUUUUUAUUCUUAAGUUUUCCUCUUGUGCCUAACUAGUCCUUUGUAUAUUGUUGAAACCUAAACACCUUAUCAGAUGUUAUAUAUUUCAUCAUUUGUACUAAGACUGAUAAGAUGAAACAAUUAAUUCUCAAGAUAAUAAAGGGAAGGGAUUAUUCAAAAAAUAUUUGUCUUGGAGAAUUUGAUUAAUGAUAAUGAUCAAAAUAUUUUUUAAAGUUUGAUCAUUCAAUCAUUUAUUAUUAUUUAUUCUGGUCAUUUUGAUAAUUUAUAAUGGGCAAAGUGAACACCUUGAAUAAAUAAUUAACCCUCACCAUUAUUUCUAUAACAAUAUCCCCUUUUUACCUAAAUUUAUCUAGUUCGGAACCACAUUGUGGAAUAUGCCACUGAAGUGUAUUCUGGACAUAUUUUGCAGGACCUUCGGCAGCGUAAUGGGAUAACAUGGGUCAUCCAGGAAAUGACUCCAUCAUGAAUCUGCAAAAAAAAAAAUUUAACACACAGUAAAAAGUCAAGCCUCCCGCAUUGUCAUUCGUCAAGGCUGCUAAACAUAUGGAAUGCUUUUGAUUGUCCAUGACAUUAAGAAGUAUUCAUCUAUAUAACUAAAAGUCUCAUCUUGACCACUUCCUGUCUCUGCUGUUAAUUGAUUUUAGAAAAAACGCUACCCUAUAUCGCUAUGAUUGUGGCCAUCUUACUCACAGUCCUUCUCCGCUGCAGUAACCACAAGGAUUUUUCCGAUUGCUGAAAAAUAAAAAAAGUUAUGAAUGUUUUAAAAAUCUUGAGAUCAGCUGAUUGGUCCUCACGCCUGUUAAUAAGUAUGAUGAAGGUAAUGCCACUUCUGGAGUGGGGAAAUCAGGAGUAUAAAACUUCGGAUGCCUGGACGCGAGUCAGUCACUCUGGAAGAUCGUGAGGGAGAGGCCUCAACUGUCAUUCUGCUGUGAGUCUACCAUGUGCUUGCAAUAAAUGCUUUGUUACCCCGCAAUGUGGUUGCAAUACAUGAUGAUUGGUUAACCCUUAAUGUGCUUGCAAUAAAUGCAUUGUUACCCCACAAUGUGUAUGCAAUAAAUGAUGAUUGGUUAAUGAUUGAAAUCGAUUGAUUCGACUUGGCUCGACUUGAAAUGGAUUGGCUCGACUUGAAAUGGAUUGGCUCGACUUGAAAUGGAUUGGCUCGACUUGAAAUGGAUUGGCUCGACUUGACUUGAAAUGAAUUGAAAUUGAUUGACUUGACUUGAAAUGGAUUGACUUGAAAUGAGUUGACUUGACUUGACUUGAAAUGGAUUGAUUUGACGAAUUGAAAUGGAUUGACUUGACUUGAAAUGGAUUGAUUUGAAAUGGAUUGGAUUGGCUUGACUUGAAAUGGAUUGGCUUGACUUGAAAUGACUUGACUUGACUUGAAUUGAAAUGGAUUGACUUGACUUGAAUUGAAAUGGAUUGACUUGACAUGACUGGAAAUGCAUUGGCUUGACUUGACAAUCCAAUUCCUCCGUCUACACCGCAUCUGCGCCCAGGAUGAGGUUUUCCAUACAAGAUCAUCGGAUAUGUUCUAACUAACCAUAUAACCAUAUAAUAAUUACAGCACGGAAACAGGCCAUCUCGGCCCAACAAGUCCGUGCCGAACAAUUAUUUUCCCCUAGUCCCAUCUACCUGCACGCAGACCAUAACCCUCCAUUCCUUUCUCAUCCAUAUACCUAUCUUUGGGAAACAGGGCUUCCCCUCUUCCAUUAUAGAUGAGGCUCACCUUGAUAUCCCACAACUCCACUCUUGCUCCCCCUCCUCCCAUUCGCAACAAGGACAGUGUCCUCCUUGUCCUCACCUUCCACCCCAUCAGCCGUCGCAUACAGCAUAUAAACCACCAACACGUUCGCCACCUCCAACAGGAGCGCACUACUGGCCACAUCUUCCCAUCUCUAUUCCCUUCUGCUUUUGGCAGUGACCAUUCCCUCAGCAACUCCCUUGUCAACUCGUCCCUUCCCACCCAAACCACAUCCCCUCCCCAGGUACUUUCCCCUGCAACCACAGGAGAUGCAACACCCGUCCCAUUACCUCCCCCUCAACUCCAUCCACGGACCCCAACAGUCUUUUCAGGUGAGGCAGAGGUUCACUUGCACCUUCUCCAACCUCAUUUACUGUAUCCGCUGUUCCAGGUGUCAACUUCUCUACUUCGGCAAGACCAAGAGCAGGCUCGGCGAUCGUUUUGCUGAACACCUCCGCUCAGUCUGCCUUAACCUACCUGAUCUCACAGUUGUUCAGCAGUUUAACUCUCCCUCCCAUUCCCAAUCUGUCCUUUCUGUCCUGGGCCUCCUCCAUUGUCAGAGUGAGGCCCAGCACAAGUUGGAGGAACAGCACCUCAUAUUUCUCUUGGGCAGCUUACACCCCAGCGGUAUGAACAUUGACCUCUAACUUCAAACAGCUCUCGCUAGCCCUCUCUCUCCAUCCCCUCCCCUUCUCAGUUCUCCCAUCAGUCUUACUGUCUCUGACUACAUUCUAUCUCUGUCCUGCCCACUCCCCUGACAUCAGUCUGAAGAAGGGUCUCGACCCGAAACGUCACCCAUUCCUUCUCUGCAGAAAUGCUGCCUGUCCCGCUGAGUUACUCCAGCAUUUUGUGUCUACGUUCGAUUUAAACCAGCAUCUGCAGUUCUUUCCGAGUCGGGAAGUCUUGAUUCAGCUCUGUAGGACUUUGGUUAGGUCACAUUUGGAGUAUGACAUGCAGUUUCGAUCACCGCAUUGCAGAAAGGAUGUGGAAGAUUUGGAGAGAGUGCAGAGGAGGUUUUUGUGAUAUGCUGAGAAAAGUUGUUUUGUAUGGUUCUUGAGAGCUUCAACAUUUAUUCUCUUGGAGCAAUGUACAGUAUCUGUUGACAGUAAUAAUCUUGGGCUUGAUGGAGAUACCAGAGUAGAUUAGGUAGCAGUCAGUCCAAAAAUUAUUGGUGUCUAUGAUGGCCUGCAUGAUGCAAACAUCUUUUAAAUCAAGAAAAACAGUGGAAUAUCCUCUUCAAAUUUGACUGCCUACUGAAAUUGAUCUCUGUCUUAUGCUUGCCCCACCACUGCUUCUAAGCCAUGGUACUGACCAACAGGUCUAUGACGGAUUAAUCUCAAUGAGGACGAGUGUCAAACAAGGUUUCGUCAUUGUCCCAAUAUUUUACUCAAUCUAGCUAGCUGCUAUGGGAUCUCAUCUCACAAUAAAUGUUGUAUGCGAAUGGAGCUAAUCUGAUAAACUAAUGGGAGACUGUACAACCUACAAUCAGUGAACAAACAGUGACUGUAUUCCCGAACCAAGAUAGCACAAACCUCAGUGGUGGAGUUGCAGUGUACAAUCAUCAUAUGCAUUUUUGCAUGUCUGAGUUCCAAGACAGCAUAAUGUGCUCAUCAAAAUAUACAAGAGACUUGAACUUCCUGCAGUGGGCACCUCAAAGCACUGAAGAAAUAUCAUCAAUGCCGUCUCCACAAAAUUCUUCAAAUUCACUGGAAGGAUAAGAGAAUUACAUCAAUUUCUUCUCCAGGCAAACAUACAAACCAAUGAGGCCCUGGUUUCUUUCCGCCAACUGUGUUGGACAGGCCAUCUUGUUUACAAGCAUGACACCAGACGCUCCAAACAGACACUCUAUUUUAUGCACCAGUGCUUGCAGGAAAAAACAUUUCAAGAUUCUGUUCAAAGCUUCUUUGACGAAUCUUGCUUAAGAUCCCUGAGGAAUCUUGGGAACAUCAAGCCCUUAAAAUCCCAGAGCCCACUCAUAGUGGAGAAAGAGCAUUCAAGAUGAAAUUGGAAGUAUAUAGAAGCCUGAGAGAAAUGGCAAAUGGAUCAAACGUUUCUAACUACUCCCUUUCAAGUUUUUCUUGUUACUUUGAAAAUUCUGUUUUAUUUUAACAAUGGGAAGCUUCAAUUAUAACGUACCCUCAACAUUUCCACUAACAUUUCACAGGCAGGUAAAAUAAAGCACACAGAACAAAUAUAAAUAUGGAAACUUCUUGGAUUCCAAACAAUUCUGAAUGCAGAUGGGAAAAAUGCUGAUUUGGCAUGAUUUGAUUGCACUUUAAAAAAAGUCAGAAUGUAGUGCACAUUGUUACGGUUGCUGCCUUACAGCGAAUGCUUACAGCGCCGGAGACUUGGGUUCGAUCCCGACUACGGUUGCUGUCAGU